AAAGUUUUUAUCUAGUUUUAUUCCGCAGACCUUGUGUUCUAAACCUUUUGUAAUCCAGAUUUCUCUUUAUCUAUUCAUUAUUCAGUAUUCAGCUUUUGUUCUUGAUUUCGUUCUACUGUUGUUCAUUCUGUUAUCAUCCUGCUGUUACACUGUUGUUAUCAUGUUUUCAACUUGUUCAACGUUUAUGCUUUCUGUUAUGAUGUCUGAGUAGUGAAUAGGUUUCUGAGGAUGGGUUAGAGUAGUGUAGAAUUCUCAGUAUGCUAGGUGAUUGAGUAUUGAUUGAUAGAUCCCUUCUGGAUUAGUUGUUCUUAAUGCAUAUUGCUUUGUGAUCAACUGGAAUUUGAGCCCAGACAUUUCCGCGCCCAAAAGUUGUUCGAUGAAAUGUCUGAACCACUAAUUCCAGAGAUUCGUGGCCCUGUACCAAGGUAUUGGUUGCAGGGAGCGUUUUGGGUUUAACUUGUUGAUUCGUAAUGCCUGUUAGGUUAGCUCUCGUCAAUGGUGAUUGAGUCUGGGACUACGUUAACUGGAGGGUCUCUGUUGCGGUGGCACUUAGAUUUGGUUAAUGAACUUGUUGUCUAGGGUUAAUUUAUUGAGCAUGUCAAUCACCUGUAAACUGAGGAAACAAAACUACUCAAUUACCCCAUCCUCGGGAAUUCUUUAUCUGAUUGAAUUCUUUGUUUACUCUACUGUUGUUUACUGCAUCUUGUUAUCUGUCGUUUAAUUUCAGCAGUUCUUUCUUGUUACUCGACCUCAUACUCGACCACUCAGUUGUCUGGCAACAGACUGUGCAGUCGAGUAUCUGUGUUUUAUUUUUCUGUCUGUUACUCGACCUGUCACUCGACCUCACCCAGUGCUCUGCAAAGAGCUGUGUUGGUCGAGUGUUUUACUGUUUCUGCUUGAAAUUCUCUUUUCUGCAUGUUCACUUAGAACUGCUAGAACACACCACAACCUGUUAUUGCUUGGCUUGACUUAGUGACUUCUGAUCACAUCUUGAUUGUUAGCAUCACACCCAUUUGGAUUGACAAGCUAAAAUACUACAACGACAUGAUUGGUGUUUUAGGAUAACUGACUUAAAAACCUGU
rnacentral:sRNA from 1 species